UGCUCCAGUUGAUCGCAUGGUCUUCUGGGAAAGCUUUCGCGGUAUGGGAUGGGGUCGCGUCCUAUCAGCUUGACGGCGGGGUAACGGCCCACCAAGGCGUUGACGGGUAGCCGGCCUGAGAGGGUGACCGGCCACAUUGGGACUGAGAUACGGCCCAGACUCCUACGGGAGGCAGCAGUGGGGAAUAUUGCACAAUGGGGGAAACCCUGAUGCAGCGACGCCGCGUGAGCGAAGAAGUAUUUCGGUAUGUAAAGCUCUAUCAGCAGGGAAGAAAAUGACGGUACCUGACUAAGAAGCCCCGGCUAACUACGUGCCAGCAGCCGCGGUAAUACGUAGGGAGCAAGCGUUAUCCGGAUUUACUGGGCGUAAAGGGCUCGUAGGCGGUUCGUCGCGUCCGGUGUGAAAGUCCAUCGCCUAACGGUGGAUCUGCGCCGGGUACGGGCGGGCUGGAGUGCGGUAGGGGAGACUGGAAUUCCCGGUGUAACGGUGGAAUGUGUAGAUAUCGGGAAGAACACCAAUGGCGAAGGCAGGUCUCUGGGCCGUUACUGACGCUGAGGAGCGAAAGCGUGGGGAGCGAACAGGAUUAGAUACCCUGGUAGUCCACGCCGUAAACGGUGGAUGCUGGAUGUGGGGCCCUUUCCACGGGUCCUGUGUCGGAGCCAACGCGUUAAGCAUCCCGCCUGGGGAGUACGGCCGCAAGGCUAAAACUCAAAGAAAUUGACGGGGGCCCGCACAAGCGGCGGAGCAUGCGGAUUAAUUCGAUGCAACGCGAAGAACCUUACCUGGGCUUGACAUGUGCCGGAUCGCCCCGGAAACGGGGUUUCCCUUCGGGGCCGGUUCACAGGUGGUGCAUGGUCGUCGUCAGCUCGUGUCGUGAGAUGUUGGGUUAAGUCCCGCAACGAGCGCAACCCUCGCCGCAUGUUGCCAGCGGGUUAUGCCGGGAACUCAUGUGGGACCGCCGGGGUCAACUCGGAGGAAGGUGGGGAUGACGUCAGAUCAUCAUGCCCCUUACGUCCAGGGCUUCACGCAUGCUACAAUGGCCGGUACAACGCGAUGCGACACGGUGACGUGGGGCGGAUCGCUGAAAACCGGUCUCAGUUCGGAUCGCAGUCUGCAACUCGACUGCGUGAAGGCGGAGUCGCUAGUAAUCGCGGAUCAGCAACGC
rnacentral:rRNA from 1 species